UUCCCUGUCUCCUGUUACCAUCCGCCUAGACGCACAGUUCGGGACCCCCUACCUGAGAUCCGCCGGUUUUGACACCGACAGCUGAUGACUCCCAAGAGCUCUUAUCGACGGAGUCGUUUGGCACCUCGAUGAAGACUCAUCACAUCCUGGGUUCGAGAAGGUCCCAAAGGUUCGGUUAUUCGCCGAUGAAAGUGGUAUGUGAGUUGGGUUUAGAACAUCGUGAGACAGUUCGGUUCCUAUCUACCGUUGGUGUUAAAGGGAGAACUGCGAGGAGCCAGCCCUAGUACGAGAGGACUGGGCUGGGUCAACCUAUGGUGUACCGGUUGUUAUGCCAAUAGCAGCGCCGGGCGGCUAAGUUGGUAUGGAAGAACUGCUGCGCCGCGGGAAAUCCUUCUCUAUACAAGUUCUCGUACGAGGUUUUUGAACAGAACUUCAAUAGGCGAGAGGUCUAAGCACUGUAAGGUGUGAAGCGAUCUCAUAGUAAACGAAUGG
rnacentral:ncRNA from 1 species